AAAAGAAAUUGUAGUAGUUGACAUAGGCUUGCUCCUGAUACUUGUAAGUUUUCUUUGGUGCUCAACGUGACUUCAGGGUAAGUGUUAAGAAGUAAAGGACCGAUGACACUGAAAGUCAUAAAAUCGAGGUGGAUCUUUGAUUUUAUCUACAGCCGUUGCAGCUGACACCCCAUAACACACAGGAGAAAAUGGUUUAGGUUUUGUCUCUGAUUAUUAUUUUUCUUUGGUGCAAAUCUGGCAGUCCUUGUGAAAGUCUGUCCAUUUUUCUUUGCCUCAGUUUCCCUUUGUUGCUUUGUGGGUCCCGAGGAAGUCCCCUACCAGCUCCUGGGUCCCUACCACUAACAGAUGAUUUCUGCCCAAGAGAAAAGGGAAGAGCCAAAAACAUGUCUGCAGUGUGUCUACAGACUCCUGCCAGGACACCUACACAUAUCGAUGUCUUCCAUACUCUUCACAAUGUAUCUGCCAACCUCAGCUGCGUUUCGUUUCUUGUCCCGGAUCCACCUUUGCUGCCUGAGCUUGCGCUCUCUCACGCGGGCAUAAAUAGGCUUCUGCUGCUGCCAGAAAUCACUGCGUGUGUCGAGGUGAAAGAAGACACGAGCAUUCACUGCACUGAGUUCGAAGGAAAAUGUGGCUUGGCAUCUCAGAGGAAUAAGGCACUAUUUCACUGGACCACCCCAAAAUUAAGCAAUCAAUAAAGUGUCCAUUAUCAAAAAUGUGAACCUUCAACAUCAGUUUCAGGUAACAUUUUGAGCGGGCAACUAGACCGUGCUUGUCUCCUGCUCUCAGCUUCAGCGCCUGCAACGCAACAGACACAGUAUGUCAUCAGUGCUGGCUCAACAGGACAGGUAUUUAC